rnacentral:rRNA from 1 species
GGAGGGGGCUAGCGUUGUUCGGAUUUACUGGGCGUAAAGCGCGCGUAGGCGGGCUGGUUAGUUGGGGGUGAAAUCCCGAGGCUUAACCUCGGAACUGCCCUCAAUACUGCCAGUCUUGAGUUCGAGAGAGGUAAGUGGAAUUCCUAGUGUAGAGGUGAAAUUCGUAGAUAUUAGGAAGAACACCAGUGGCGAAGGCGGCUUACUGGCUCGAUACUGACGCUGAGGCGCGAAAGCGUGGGGAGCAAACAGGAUUAGAUACCCUGGUAGUCCACGCCGUAAACGAUGGGUGCUAGUUGUCAGGCAGCAUGCUGUUUGGUGACGCAGCUAACGCGUUAAGCACCCCCGCCUGGGGACUACGGUCGCAAGACU